GCGGGAAUUCGAUUUUCCGGUUGAUCCUGCCGGACCUGACUGCUAUCGGAUUGAUACUAAGCCAUGCGAGUCAUUGUAGCAAUACAAGGCAGACGGCUCAGUAACGCGUAGUCAACCUACCCUAUGGACGGGGAUAACCUCGGGAAACUGAGAAUAAUACCCGAUAGAACAUUAUACCUGGAACGGUUUAUGUUUCAAAUAAUUUAUUGCCGUAGGAUGGGACUGCGGCCUAUCAGUUUGUUGGUGAGGUAAUGGCCCACCAAGACUAUUACAGGUACGGGCUCUGAGAGGAGUAGCCCGGAGAUGGGUACUGAGACACGGACCCAGGCCCUAUGGGGCGCAGCAGGCGAGAAAACUUUGCAAUGUGCGAAAGCACGACAAGGUUAAUCCGAGUGGUUUCUGCUAAAGGAACCUUUUGUCAGUCCUAGAAACACUGUUGAAUAAGGGGUGGGCAAGUUCUGGUGUCAGCCGCCGCGGUAAAACCAGCACCUCAAGUGGUCAGGAUGAUUAUUGGGCCUAAAGCAUCCGUAGCCUGCUUUGUAAGUUUUCGGUUAAAUCCAUACGCUUAACGUAUGGGCUGCCGGGAAUACUGCAAAGCUAGGGAGUGGGAGAGGUAGACGGUACUCGGUAGGAAGGGGUAAAAUCCUUUGAUCUAUUGAUGACCACCUGUGGCGAAGGCGGUCUACCAGAACACGUCCGACGGUGAGGGAUGAAAGCUGGGGGAGCAAACCGGAUUAGAUACCCGGGUAGUCCCAGCUGUAAACUAUGCAAACUCGGUGAUGCAUUGGCUUGAUGCCAAUGCAG
rnacentral:rRNA from 1 species